rnacentral:rRNA from 1 species
CGAACGGGUGAGUAACACGUGGGUGACCUGCCCUUAGCUCUGGGAUAAGCCUGGGAAACUGGGUCUAAUACCGGAUAUGACUCCAUGACGCAUGUUGUGGGGUGGAAAGCCUUGUGCGGCUAGGGAUGGGCCCGCGGCCUAUCAGCUUGUUGGUGGGGUGAUGGCCUACCAAGGCGACGACGGGUAGCCGGCCUGAGAGGGCGACCGGCCACACUGGGACUGAGACACGGUCCAG